rnacentral:rRNA from 1 species
CGGACGGGUGAGGAACGCGUAGGGAUUUGUCGUUGGGUGGGGAUAACCGCGGGAAACUGCGGCUAAUACCGCAUGACGCCUGUGGGCCAAAGGUGUGUGAGCACUGCCUGACGAGGAGCCUGCGUCCGAUUAGCUAGUAGGUUGGGUAAUGGCUGACCUAGGCUGUGAUCGGUAGCUGGUCUGAGAGGAUGAUCAGCCACACUGGGACUGAGACACGGCCCAGACUCCUACGGGAGGCAGCAGCC